rnacentral:lncRNA from 1 species
AUGUUGCCAAAAAAAGUGGUGUUUAUUUCCAUGACUGAAGGGGCUGCUUCCGUCCUCCUGAUCAAGGGGAUGCAGGGGACAUGCUCAGAGGAUCAGCGACCACCUGCCCUAGACCUAUGGAGACAGGAUAGCCGAAGGCCAUCCACACAGUCACUCCGUUUCUGCCCUCCAAGACAACAAGGUCCAAGACAACAAGGUCACACUGGUGUGUCUCAUCAGUGACUUCUCAGGUGCUGUGAUGGUGGCCUGGAAGGCAGACGGCACCCCCAUCACCCAGGGCAUGGAAACUACAAAACCCUCCAAAUAGAACAACAAGUACGCAGGCAGCAGCUACCUGAGCCUGACCAGUGGAGGUCCCACAGAAGCUACAGCUGCCAGGUCACGCAUAAAAGGAGCACUGUGAAGCUGACAGAGACCCCUGCAAGAUGUGCUCAGGCCCCUGACCCUCACCCCAUCCAUAGGGUGCUGGAGCUGCAGGAUCCCAGGGCAGGGGUCUCCUCUCUCAUUCCAAGGCAUCCAGCCCCUCUCCCUGCAUCCAAGUAACCCUCAAUAAAUAUUUUGAAUUAGAAAUCCUGUUCCA